UUGAACGCUGGCGGCAGGCCUAACACAUGCAAGUCGAGCGGUAACACAGAGAGCUUGCUCUCGGGUGACGAGCGGCGGACGGGUGAGUAAUGUCUGGGAAACUGCCUGAUGGAGGGGGAUAACUACUGGAAACGGUAGCUAAUACCGCAUAACGUCGCAAGACCAAAGUGGGGGACCUUCGGGCCUCAUGCCAUCAGAUGUGCCCAGAUGGGAUUAGCUAGUAGGUGGGGUAACGGCUCACCUAGGCGACGAUCCCUAGCUGGUCUGAGAGGAUGACCAGCCACACUGGAACUGAGACACGGUCCAGACUCCUACGGGAGGCAGCAGUGGGGAAUAUUGCACAAUGGGCGCAAGCCUGAUGCAGCCAUGCCGCGUGUGUGAAGAAGGCCUUCGGGUUGUAAAGCACUUUCAGCGGGGAGGAAGGCGGUGAGGUUAAUAACCUCAUCGAUUGACGUUACCCGCAGAAGAAGCACCGGCUAACUCCGUGCCAGCAGCCGCGGUAAUACGGAGGGUGCAAGCGUUAAUCGGAAUUACUGGGCGUAAAGCGCACGCAGGCGGUCUGUCAAGUCGGAUGUGAAAUCCCCGGGCUCAACCUGGGAACUGCAUUCGAAACUGGCAGGCUAGAGUCUUGUAGAGGGGGGUAGAAUUCCAGGUGUAGCGGUGAAAUGCGUAGAGAUCUGGAGGAAUACCGGUGGCGAAGGCGGCCCCCUGGACAAAGACUGACGCUCAGGUGCGAAAGCGUGGGGAGCAAACAGGAUUAGAUACCCUGGUAGUCCACGCCGUAAACGAUGUCGAUUUGGAGGUUGUGCCCUUGAGGCGUGGCUUCCGGAGCUAACACGUUAAAUCGACCGCCUGGGGAGUACGGCCGCAGGGUUAAAGCUCAAAUGAAUUGACGGGGGCCCGCACAAGCGGUGGAGCAUGUGGUUUAAUUCGAUGCAACGCGAAGAACCUUACCUGGUCUUGACAUCCACAGAACUUUCCAGAGAUGGAUUGGUGCCUUCGGGAACUGUGAGACAGGUGCUGCAUGGCUGUCGUCAGCUCGUGUUGUGAAAUGUUGGGUUAAGUCCCGCAACGAGCGCAACCCUUAUCCUUUGUUGCCAGCGGUUCGGCCGGGAACUCAAAGGAGACUGCCAGUGAUAAACUGGAGGAAGGUGGGGAUGACGUCAAGUCAUCAUGGCCCUUACGACCAGGGCUACACACGUGCUACAAUGGCAUAUACAAAGAGAAGCGACCUCGCGAGAGCAAGCGGACCUCAUAAAGUAUGUCGUAGUCCGGAUUGGAGUCUGCAACUCGACUCCAUGAAGUCGGAAUCGCUAGUAAUCGUAGAUCAGAAUGCUACGGUGAAUACGUUCCCGGGCCUUGUACACACCGCCCGUCACACCAUGGGAGUGGGUUGCAAAAGAAGUAGGUAGCUUAACCUUCGGGAGGGCGCUUACCACUUUGUGAUUCAUGACUGGGGUG
rnacentral:rRNA from 1 species